GAUUGUCUUCAAGCUGAGCACACACUGAGCACUGGGCCUGCCUUCUUCCUAACACAGGUUUUUGUAAGCUCCAGACAUUGGAUAAAGCAUUUUGAGGGAUAGGUGAAAACGAAAUCCUGCCCUUUACUCUUGAGAACUCACUCUGCUGUGGGAGGAGAGACAGGCAGGUAUAUCAAAGGGAAAAAUAGUAACAGUUCUGGUGGAGAGACCUGGUGAGCAACACCUUAAACCAAGUGAUGAAAGCUGAAAUCAGCAACACUGGGAUGAACCUGCAUCACGUAAUAGCGGAUGUGAUGCCCUGACAAGAGCACCAGUCCUGUUUGCAGCAUCACUGCCCCAGAUGCAUGCCUGAAUCUGUUCCUUAGGAUACAUCAGGAAACCCAAGCUGAGGAAUGUUCUACUAAAUAAAUGAUCUCUACUCUUCAAAAACAUGCGGGUCAAGUGACAGGUGCCGAGGAGAGGGAGAGGGUCUAGGAAGACCCUAGUUGGGACAAUUGGCAGCAUUCAAAUGUGGCCUGUGCAUUUCAUACUGGUACUGUUCAAUGUGAAAUUUCUUGAUUUUUGUAAGAUUCUCCCUGGGGCCUGAUAGCUUAAAGGGAUGAGUAACUCCUCCCUUCUCAGGCCCAGUCCCAAGGUGCAAGACCACUUGCAUCAGCAGCCUGUGCCAGCAAGAUAGCAGAAGCAGGAAGAGAGCCGGCCAGAAGACACGUACCCCUGAAGAUUGAGAAACAGGCCAUCCGGGUACAACGUAGCAAUUACGUCAGACUAGGACACUUCCUGUUUAAAGGAGACUAUAAAACCUUUGUCCUGUCCUCACUUGGGGCUGACGCCAUUUUAGGCCUCAGCCCGCCUGCACCCAGGCGCUCAUUAAAACAGCAUGUUGCUCCACA
rnacentral:lncRNA from 1 species